rnacentral:lncRNA from 1 species
GAAAGGAGGAAUAAUAAUGGAAUAAUUAAAUAAAUACAGCCCAAUUAAAUAAAUACAGCCUAAUAAAUUCAGCCCAAUUAAAUAAAUACAGCCCAAUAGUGAUAAAUUAAAUACAGCCCAUGUCAUCUCAUUUUAGGGUUCAGCCGGCCUCUUCUCCCUCGUUCAUCUUCUCCCAGUCCAAACCUUUCUCCUUCUUCCACAUGCGCCGCUGCCGGCGAGAAGCCACGGUCGCCGAUGCUCUCCCUCGUCUUCUCUCUCCCUUUGUCUCACCCUCUAUUUGUGAACACCCAUCUCCCUCGGGCUCUCAAGUUUCGCAACUGAACGGUGGCAAAGCCGCCGUCCAAAAGCCCUAGAUCCCCGCUCUAUGCGGCGUCGCCUCCCUCGUUGACGACGAUAAAUGCGCCGCUGCGUCCCUCUGCACACCCCAAGCCCUAGCCUCCAGAACUCGGCCUCCUCUUCUCGCUCAUCUGCAUCCUUCUCCUCUUAUUCCCCUUCUUCCUCGUCUGCCCAUUUAUCGAGCAUCGCUUUCUCUAGCCACUCCAAAAAAAAAACCUAGCUUUCGCCCCCUCCCCCUCUUCUCUUUGAACACCUAAAUUUUAAAAUCGGACAAAAAUGUUGACACCGCAAAAGGAGAAGCAGCCGCUAACGCCACCACAUCUUCGGCCCACGGCCCCCUCCGCCUGCAUAUUUAAUUCCACGCUUCUCCAUAUAAAUAUUUGUGUUCUUGUUAAUGUGGAUGUUUCUUGUCAGUGUGUGUUUGUGACACUAUUUUGGCAAAUUAAUUUUCAGUUUUUCGUGUUUUCUUAUUAUUCUUGGUAAAUAUCUUCACAAAGUGUUGUUAGCUUAAAGCUGAAGAUCUUUAGGUUCAUUCGCAUAUUAUUUUUUCUUUUUUAACUUUUUCAUUUUUUGUGUUUAUGGUAUCAUUUUUGUAGAUCUAGGAAUAUCUACUCAAAUUGGUUCUUAAACCAACAAUUUUUGUUUUUGCAGAUUAGUUUUUUAUUAUACAGUGAACAUCUUUAUAUUUUUUCACAUAUUACUUUUGCAGAUCUAUGAACAUUUUAAUUUUUUUUUGCAUGUAGAUCUACCAGUUUAUACACAAAUGGGUAUUAUGUGCUUGUGGGUUAUCACUCCGACGCCUCUUGGUUACGGCAAGUCCUCUGUCAAGCAGAUUUUCUUGAUAAAUAGGUAUGAUCACUUUCCAACAAUUUAGAUUACAUUUCUUCUUCUGAUUUUGAAUAACAGAUUCGCAUAUUGUGAUGAAGGAGAAACUAUAGAAACAAUAUCAGAAAUUAUCUGGAUGAAUAUGCAUUUGAUAUCAUUGUUAUAAAGACUAUAAAACAUGAAUAUAUUGCCUUUGAUAUCACAUGCAAUUUCCUUGAAGAAAUAAUUAAUUGUUCAGCAAAACACAAAUGUGUCGUGGCAUUAUUGAUAUAUUUUUUGGUUUAUGUACAUGAUAUGUUCAAAUGUGUCGUGGCAUUAUUGAUAUAUUUUUUGGUUUAUGUACAUGAUAUGUUUUCAAUUGCACAGCCUAAAUUAGAAAGAAAAAACUUCAAUUUUCUUGAUUUUGUAUGUGUUGCUUGCAUCAAAUGGAAGAGUCAUUAGGAGCAAUUUUAUAUUUUACUUAUACUCAUUUGUGGAAAAAAAAGGAUAUUCAGAAUUCUUGAGUCAAUAUGGUCCACGCAUCGCGUGGGUAUAUUUAAUAAGCAAAAUAAAUGGAAUCGAAAAAAAAAACCAUUUCUUGUUUUCAUCUUGUUGCAUCCAUUUUGGCACUUUUAUGUGAUGCCUGCAUAAAAUAGAAGAAGCAUCAGGAGCAAUUAUAUAUUCUACUUGUUAUUCAUUUGUGGCAAAAAAUAAGAGUAAUGGUAAAUAACAUGAUAUAAAAUUUCUCUCCUCCUUACCAUCUUCAUAAAUGAGUAGGAGAAUGGUGAAUAUAGGAGUAUAUAAUUUCUCUUACGAAAAUAAGAGGAGUUCUAUUUUCAUUUGACUUUUGACUAAUAUAUACAACUUGUGCUACAAAAUAUAAAAAACAAUGGCCUUUAUAAAAAUAUAAGGAAGAAUAGUGAUAAUGUUUUGCCCUUUCAUCAUUAUCACAUUUAUGAGAUUAAUAAAUGUCUGUAUUAGAUUAUAAUAAUAUUUUGCUUAGAAGUGCAGAAAAUAGGAAAAAGCAAUGUAAAUAUGUAGUAAAAUAGAAAGAAACAAUAAAAUAAGAAAGAAGAAAAAAAGUUAGAAAGAAUAUAAAAAAAGAAAAUAAAAAGAAAUGAAAUACUAAAGAAAGUAAGUAAAAACAUAAAAAAAACACAAUCAAAUAAGGAAGAAAAAAGCUAAAGAAUAUAAAAAAGAAAGAAAAUGAUGUAAGAAGCUGUGAGAAAGAAAAGCAUAGAUGCAGAAAGGUAACAAAUGCAAAAAUUUAUGCUAGCUUAUGUAGAAAUGAAAAAAUAUAAAAAUUGAAAGCAAGAAUAUUAGAGAAAAAAGCAAGAAGCUGCCUUGAAUUUGCAUCAUUAAAUAUUUUAAUGAAGGUGCAGAAGCUGAUGAAAAGAAGGUGCAGACAUUGAAGCAAAAGCUGAUGAAGAAAAAAAGAAGUUGAUGAAGAAAAAAGAGAGGCAAGAACAAAAGCCAGAAGCUGCUGAAAAUAAGAAAGAAAAAGGUGAUGAAGGAAAAAGAGGAAAGAAAGAGAAGAAGCUGCAGGAAAAAAUGAAACGAAAGAGAAGAAUGCAAAUGAAAAAAAUGGCUGGGGAGAGGGGAAAUAUAAAGAAGAUAUCUUGGUGGCUAAGUUUUGUAUUAAUUGGCUCUGCAAUACAUGUUGUCUUGAGCCCCACAAUUUGUAGUUUUAAAUGUGUAUAUUAUAGAUAUCUCAGCAAAUUGUACAAUAAAAAUCUUAAAAUGAUAUGGUGAACAGUAAAUCCGCAGCAUCACAGCUGUAUUCUAUUUCAGCACAUUAAUUGAAGCAUUAAUUGAACAUUAAAAUAUUGGCUGAAGCAUAAAAAUAAAAGGUGAUGCAGUUUUCCCGCCAAAGUGUGUGUGUAUUUUGGUGCAUUUGUUUUGUGUUUUUAUAUAUUAAGUAGAUUUGCUUUUUCGGGUUGUGAGAAGGACUUUUUGAACCCGUAAUAAUCUUGGCCAUUCAUCCCACGCUUGCCCACAUGUAUGAAUCCGAACCAUUCACUUUAUAAUUUUUUAAUCGUGAUAUCGAAUCCUACGUAGGUACGUCUUUUCUUUGCUCCCCGCCUUAUUCGUAUAAAUAGGGGGACCAUCACUUUCAUUUGCUUCUGCAACUUAUUUUCUUCGCAAAGAAGACGAUUUGAAAAUAUCACUUCUAUUGUCAUUGAUUCCCU